UGGGGAAUAUUGGACAAUGGGCGCAAGCCUGAUCCAGCCAUGCCGCGUGAGUGAUGAAGGCCCUAGGGUUGUAAAGCUCUUUCACCGGUGAAGAUAAUGACGGUAACCGGAGAAGAAGCCCCGGCCAACUUCGUGCCAGCAGCCGCGGUAAUACGAAGGGGGCUAGCGUUGUUCGGAUUUACUGGGCGUAAAGCGCACGUAGGCGGACUAUUAAGUCAGGGGUGAAAUCCCGGGGCUCAACCCCGGAACUGCCUUUGAUACUGGUAGUCUUGAGUUCGAGAGAGGUGAGUGGAAUUCCGAGUGUAGAGGUGAAAUUCGUAGAUAUUCGAAGGAACACCAGUGGCGAAGGCGGCUCACUGACUCGAUACUGACGCUGAGGUGCGAAAGCGUGGGGAGCAAACAGG
rnacentral:rRNA from 1 species